rnacentral:rRNA from 1 species
GAUGAACGCUGGCGGCGUGCUUAACACAUGCAAGUCGAACGAUUAAGCUCAGCUUGCUGGGUGGUUUAGUGGCGAACGGGUGAGUAACACGUGAGUAACCUGCCCUUAACUCUGGGAUAAGCCUGGGAAACUGGGUCUAUUACCGGUUAGGAGCGUCCACCGCAUGGUGGGUGUUGGAAAGAUUUAUCGGUUUUGGAUGGACUCGCGGCCUAUCAGCUUGUUGGUGAGGUAAUGGCUCACCAAGGCGACGACGGGUAGCCGGCCUGAGAGGGUGACCGGCCACACUGGGACUGAGACACGGCCCAGACUCCUACGGGAGGCAGCAGUGGGGAAUAUUGCACAAUGGGCGCAAGCCUGAUGCAGCGACGCCGCGUGAGGGAUGAAGGCCUUCGGGUUGUAAACCGCUUUCAGUAGGGAAGAAGCGAAAGUGACGGUACCUGCAGAAGAAGCACCGGCUAACUACGUG